GAGUAACUAGUUGACCACAGAGCUCUCUCUGUUCACAGUGAGAAACAUGCUUUGCCUUGGAGGGAGUCCAUCAGCUAAUAUUAACACAGAGAAGGCGAAAGUGCAGGUUGACAGGAAAGCCUGGCUCUCCCCUGACUCAAUUCAGGAGAUCAUUAAGGACGAAGUCUUGCUGUAAAGUACACCUCUCUUCCUCCGAUGACAGUGACAACCAGGGCGCUGAAUCAGGGGCAGCCUGCUCUCCUUUGACAAACACCCACCCACUUUGGUAUGGAAUCUCGGCGUAGGCAAGCAAAUGGCUAGUUAGUACCACCGGAUCUCUGUUUUGUAAGAUAUCUCACUUCAGUCAAUUAAUUAGCAUAUGAGGAUCUCGCUUCUGGUUUCAACCAGUUGCCAUCUGUGCCUCCAUAAAUGCAAUGGCCACUAUGCAGACGUGAUCAGGGCUUUGGACCACACCACAAAGACAAAGACCCUGAGAAUCAGCCUGAAGUUGCACAUCAACAUAUUCCGAGUCAACAAUGUGAAUGCUAACAUGUAAAAACCAGUGCUCAUAAAGAAAUAAACUUUCUUCUUCAUUUGUGGUUAAGAUAGUGUCUACAUACACUUUUGCAAAGACUUUUCUCUUUCUUUGUCUGAGACAUCAUUGGCCCAUGUUUGUCUUCUCUCCUUUUCUCCUCCUGGAUCCUCUGCUCCAAGUCACCAAGAGCCAUGUUUUCAUCAGAACGCCUUGUCUCAGCAA
rnacentral:lncRNA from 1 species